CGAACCCCCAGACUUGCCUCAGUCAAACGUGCUAAUACCUGUUACGCCGCAUGCCCAGGCUCAAAUCAUCGAUUGACCUCAUUUUCAAUAACAGGCGCUAUUUCCAGUCUGAUGGCUAAUUCCCUGGCUGUGGAUUGAAGCAGCCAUCUGGGCUGGAGACGUUCGAGCAUGCUGAGGGCUCACCUGACCAACAAACACAAAGCAAACACACACAUCCUUGCCAAGCAGAAGCAAGAAAAAACCCUCCCAGCAAACAAUAUAUCUGCCAAUGAAUUAAUUAGAAAACAACACGAACACAAGUGAUUGAAGAAACAAGUGCCGUGUUGUCAAAUGAGAGGCGAGCGAAGAAAUAUUCCAUUAUGCGGUUCACACAAGUGCCCGUUCUCAUUCCCCACCAUGAUUAACGAGCAGCGCAGGGAGGGCGGGGGUACCGGAGCGGUCGCCACGGGGUCAAAAGCACUUCUGCAUAUUUGCUAAAUAAGGCCUGACUGCCUCUCUCUACAGCUUUCUCCCACAAAUCACAGCUCUGGCAAAACUGCUCCACAUUAUUUAAGCAUUUACACUUGAUCGCCCCAUCCCUCUCUCUGAUCUCUCUAUCUCUCUCUCUCUCUCUCUCUCUCUCUCUCUCUCUCUCUCUGCCUUUGUCUUUUUUAUUUCUCUUUCAUUCUUUCGUUUUUGCUCUCUCUGUACCCCCUCAAUCUCUUUUCUCUCUCUCUCUCUCUCUGGCUAAUUGUUUAUGGUUAAGACCUCACAUAUUCUUUUGCCUGCAUUGGCAAGUGAAGAAUGCAUUGUUGCACAUUUUUCCCCUGUUGGACUGCCACCUCCUCUCUCUCUCUCUCUCUCUCUCUCUCUCUCUCUCUCUCUCUCUCACACACACAUUCUCACAUUCAUUAGGUUGGUCCUUUAAAUACUUCAAAGCCCUGCUUAUUUUUGCACAAUAAAUCCAUGAAAGCAAUUAAA